UGGAUCGACAAAAGAUCACUUCGGUGAAGCUGAAAGUGGAGUUGACUGUUAUUUGUCGGGUUUCGAAAUUUGUUUUUUGUUGAUAUCAAUUUUUCAAGAUGCAUUUUAUCUGUUUAUCACCUGCGUGGGCACAGUUUGGGGCAGAUGUCUAUAAAUACCCAUAGGUAUACCUACAAGCAAAUCACCGUCAACAUGUAUUUUAAAACUUUGCUGGUUGUCAUCGCGUCCCUAAUUUGUGUUACUGUGGCUGAUUUUCCCUGUCUUCAAUGCUUGAGCACCAAUAAGGGCCAAACUCCUACCGAAUGUGAAAGCGGGCAAGGCGGAAUUAAAUUUGCGACAUGUUCCAAAAAUACGUGCCUGUAUGUUACAGGAAUUUCCACUGACAAAAAAUCACAUGUAACAGCAAGAGACUGCGCUAGUUCUUUUAGGGUCUGUAAUCGGAAUGCCAAGGAAUUGAUGGUAACUUACAACAUGUCGAAAAUAACGAUGUGUGGUGUUUGCAACGGUGAUAACUGUAAUAAUAAUAAAUAAUAGAUUUAUUAAUCACAUCCAAACUGUACUUUUUCUAUGAAGAUUUUAUUGAAAUCUAUAAAUGAUGCAUAUUUUCCCAAUUAAAUGUUCACCUGUUCAAAA